UACAGAGGGUGCAAGCGUUAUUCGGAAUCACUGGGCGUAAAGGGCGCGUAGGCGGUUUGGUAAGUCUGGUGUGAAAUCCCUGAACUCAAUUCAGGAAGUGCAUUGGAUACUGCUAGACUAGAGUAUUGGAGGGGUGAGCGGAAUUCCUGGUGUAGAGGUGAAAUUCGUAGAUAUCAGGAGGAACAACGGAGGCGAAGGCGGCUCACUGGACAAUUACUGACGCUGAAGCGCGAAAGCGUGGGGAGCAAACAGG
rnacentral:rRNA from 1 species